rnacentral:rRNA from 1 species
UACGUAGGCAGCGAGCGUUGUUCGGAGUUACUGGGCGUAAAGGGUGUGUAGGCGGUUCUUUAAGUUCGGGGUGAAAUCUCCCGGCUCAACCGGGAGGGUGCGUCGAAUACUGAGGGACUAGAGUGCGGGAGAGGAAAGUGGAAUUCCUGGUGUAGCGGUGAAAUGCGUAGAUAUCAGGAGGAAUACCGGUGGUGUAGACGGCUCUCUGGACCGUAACUGACGCUGAGACACGAAAGCGUGGGUAGCAAACAGG